rnacentral:rRNA from 1 species
GACGAACGCUGGCGGCGUGCUUAACACAUGCAAGUCGAACGGAAAGGCCCUGCUUGCAGGGUACUCGAGUGGCGAACGGGUGAGUAACACGUGGGUGAUCUGCCCUGCACUUCGGGAUAAGCCUGGGAAACUGGGUCUAAUACCGGAUAGGAGCCAUUUUUAGUGUGAUGGUUGGAAAGUUUUUUCGGUGUAGGAUGAGCUCGCGGCCUAUCAGCUUGUUGGUGGGGUAAUGGCCUACCAAGGCGGCGACGGGUAGCCGGCCUGAGAGGGUGGACGGCCACAUUGGGACUGAGAUACGGCCCAGACUCCUACGGGAGGCAGCAGUGGGGAAUAUUGCACAAUGGGCGUAAGCCUGAUGCAGCGACGCCGCGUGGGGGAUGACGGCCUUCGGGUUGUAAACUCCUUUCGCUAGGGACGAAGCUUUUUGUGACGGUACCUAGAUAAGAAGCACCGGCUAACUACGU